UGCAGUCGACGAGCUUCCGUUGAUGACGUGCUUGCACUGAUUUCAACAAUGAAGCGAGUGGCGAACUGGUGAGUAACACGUGGGGAAUCUGCCCAGAAGCAGGGGAUAACACUUGGAAACAGGUGCUAAUACCGUAUAACAACAAAAUCCGCAUGGAUUUUGUUUGAAAGGUGGCUUCGGCUAUCACUUCUGGAUGAUCCCGCGGCGUAUUAGUUAGUUGGUGAGGUAAAGGCCCACCAAGACGAUGAUACGUAGCCGACCUGAGAGGGUAAUCGGCCACAUUGGGACUGAGACACGGCCCAAACUCCUACGGGAGGCAGCAGUAGGGAAUCUUCCACAAUGGACGAAAGUCUGAUGGAGCAAUGCCGCGUGAGUGAAGAAGGGUUUCGGCUCGUAAAACUCUGUUGUUAAAGAAGAACACCUUUGAGAGUAACUGUUCAAGGGUUGACGGUAUUUAACCAGAAAGCCACGGCUAACUACGUGCCAGCAGCCGCGGUAAUACGUAGGUGGCAAGCGUUGUCCGGAUUUAUUGGGCGUAAAGCGAGCGCAGGCGGUUUUUUAAGUCUGAUGUGAAAGCCUUCGGCUUAACCGGAGAAGUGCAUCGGAAACUGGGAGACUUGAGUGCAGAAGAGGACAGUGGAACUCCAUGUGUAGCGGUGGAAUGCGUAGAUAUAUGGAAGAACACCAGUGGCGAAAGGCGGCUGUCUAGUCUGUAACUGACGCUGAGGCUCGAAAGCAUGGUAGCGAACAGGAUUAGAUACCCUGGUAGUCCAUGCCGUAACGAUGAGUGCUAAGUGUUGGAGGGUUUCCGCCCUUCAGUGCUGCAGCUAACGCAUAAGCACU
rnacentral:rRNA from 2 species